AGCUCAUGUGGCCUAGUGGUUCGAGCGUCAGCCUCAAGUGCGGGAGGUAGCAGGUUCGAACCGUGGCAGAGUUA